UUCUCACUAAGGCACAAUGGAGCCUUUUUUCAUAAUGGGGAGGGUAUCAGAAGCCAUAAGUCCUGGCUCACUGGUUUUUCCUUGGUCCCCUUCCCCCCGGAAAGAAACGCAGGCCUUCAUGUAGAA